rnacentral:rRNA from 1 species
GACGAACGCUGGCGGCGUGCCUAACACAUGCAAGUCGAACGGAAAGGCCCUGCUCUUGCUCGUUUCUCGUGUGGCGAACGCGUGAGUAACACGUGAGUAACCCGUCCCUGUCUUUCUGAUAUCUUCAGGAAACUCGGGCUCAUAUCCGAUAUGAGCUCCUGCUGCACGGUGUGCGUUGGAAAGUUUCGGCGGUUGUGGCUGGACUCGCUGCUUAUCAGCUUGUUUGUCGAGUAGUUGCUUACAAAGGCUUCGACGGGUAGCCGGCCUGAGAGGGUGACCAGCCACAAUGGGACUGAGAGACGGCCCAGACUGCUACGGGAGGCAGCAGUGGGGAAUAUUGCGCAAUGGGCGGGAGCCUGAUGCAGCAACGCCGCGUGCGGGAUGACGGCCUUCGGGUUAUAAACCGCUUUCGCCUGUGACGAAGCGUGAGUGACGGUAAUGGGUAAAGAAGCACCGGCUAACUACGUG